AGUCGAACGGUAACAUGAGAGCUUGCUCUUGAUGACGAGUGGCGCACGGGUGCGUAACGCGUAUGCAACCUACCCUAUACAGGGGGAUAGCCCGGAGAAAUUCGGAUUAAUACCCCAUAAUAUUUUUGUAACACAUGUUAUAAUAAUUAAAGCUUCGGCGGUAUAGGAUGGGCAUGCGUCCCAUUAGUUAGUUGGUGAGGUAACGGCUCACCAAGACUUCGAUGGGUAGGGGUUCUGAGAGGAUUAUCCCCCACACUGGUACUGAGACACGGACCAGACUCCUACGGGAGGCAGCAGUGAGGAAUAUUGGGCAAUGGACGAGAGUCUGACCCAGCCAUGCCGCGUGCAGGAUGACGGCCCUAUGGGUUGUAAACUGCUUUUAUACAGGAAUAAACCUAUCUACGUGUAGAUAGCUGAAUGUACUGUACGAAUAAGGAUCGGCUAACUCCGUGCCAGCAGCCGCGGUAAUACGGAGGAUCCAAGCGUUAUCCGGAUUCAUUGGGUUUAAAGGGUCCGUAGGCGGAUUUUCAAGUCAGUGGUGAAAGCCCACAGCUCAACUGUGGAACUGCCAUUGAUACUGGAAGUCUUGAGUUUGGUUGAAGUUGGCGGAAUACGUCAUGUAGCGGUGAAAUGCAUAGAUAUGACGUAGAACACCGAUUGCGAAGGCAGCUGACUAAGUCAAUACUGACGCUGAGGGACGAAAGCGUGGGGAGCGAACAGGAUUAGAUACCCUGGUAGAA
rnacentral:rRNA from 1 species